ACCAUGAUGGGACAACCGAUAAUGCCAUAUUUUUAGCCUGCGACAGAAGAAUCUAUAAUAAUGAGAUCAACCUAGAGUCCUUAUCUGUUUAAUCAAGUUCACAUUUGCAUAUCAAUUCUUCUUAAUUCCGGCUUUAGACUAAUUACAACCAUAUUCUCUGUCCGUGAUGGGGCAAAUGAUAAGUGUCACAUUUUUUGCUCAUGACAGAGCAAUCGAUAGUGUCACAUUUUCCACCUGGAUGGGGCACUUUAUAUAAUGUGAUUAGUCCAAAGUAUCAUAUCCAUUAGUCUAAUUAUGCAAUUGUCAGUUAGUUUAAUUAUGGAACCAUCAUACCAUCAAUCAUAGACAUAACAAUCAAAACACAAUUUAAAAUAGGAAACCACAUAAUGAAAAUCUUUGCGUCUUACUUAUUUUGAUCGUUAGCAUGUCAUAUAUAUAUGUAUACAAUAUAUUUAUAAGCAUGCAGGUGAGUAUAUGAGGUUUUUUUAUCUCUACUGAUGACAGACUCAAACACAA
rnacentral:lncRNA from 1 species